AUGAUCCUUCCGUAAGGGGAACCUGCGGAAGGAUCAUUAGUGAAUAUAGGACGUCCAACUUAACUUGGAGUCCGAACUCUCACUUUCUAACCCUGUGCAUUUGUUUGGGAUAGUAACUCUCGCAAGAGGGCGAACUCCUAUUCACUUAUAAACACAAAGUCUAUGAAUGUAUUAAAUUUUAUAACAAAAUAAAACUUUCAACAACGGAUCUCUUGGCUCUCGCAUCGAUGAAGAACGCAGCGAAAUGCGAUAAGUAAUGUGAAUUGCAGAAUUCAGUGAAUCAUCGAAUCUUUGAACGCACCUUGCGCUCCAUGGUAUUCCGUGGAGCAUGCCUGUUUGAGUGUCAUGAAUACUUCAACCCUCCUCUUUCUUAAUGAUUGAAGAGGUGUUUGGUUUCUGAGCGCUGCUGGCCUUUAGGGUCUAGCUCGUUCGUAAUGCAUUAGCAUCCGCAAUCGAACUUCGGAUUGACUUGGCGUAAUAGACUAUUCGCUGAGGAAUUCUAGUCUUCGGACUAGAGCCGGGUUGGGUUAAAGGAAGCUUCUAAUCAGAAUGUCUACAUUUUAAGAUUAGAUCUCAAAUCAGGUAGGACUACCCGCUGAACUUAAGCAUAUCAAUAAGCCGGGAGGAA
rnacentral:rRNA from 1 species